rnacentral:rRNA from 1 species
GAUGAACGCUGGCGGCGUGCCUAAUACAUGCAAGUCGAGCGAAUGGAUUAAGAGCUUGCUCUUAUGAAGUUAGCGGCGGACGGGUGAGUAACACGUGGGUGAUCUGCCCAUAAGACUGGGAUAACUCCGGGAAACCGGGGCUAAUACCGGAUAACAUUUUGAACCGCAUGGUUCGAAAUUGAAAGGCGGCUUCGGCUGUCACUUAUGGAUGGACCCGCGUCGCAUUAGCUAGUUGGUGAGGUAACGGCUCGCCAAGGCAACGAUGCGUAGCCGACCUGAGCAGGUGAUCGGCCACACUGGGACUGAGACACGGCCCAGACUGCUACGGGAGGCAGCAGUAGGGAAUCUUCCGCAAUGGACGAAAGUCUGACGGAGCAACGCCGCGUGAGUGAUGAAGGCUUUCGGGUCGUAAAACUCUGUUGUUAGGGAAGAACAAGUGCUAGUUGAAUAAGCUGGCACCUUGACGGUACCUAACCAGAAAGCCACGGCUAACUACGUGCCAGCCGCCGCCGUAA